rnacentral:rRNA from 1 species
UACGGGAGGCAGCAGUGGGGAAUUUUGCGCAAUGGGGGAAACCCUGACGCAGCGACGCCUCGUGGGUGAUGAAGUCUUUAGGGACGUAAAGCCCUGUCGGCAGGGACGAUUAUGACGGUACCUGCAGAGGAAGCUCCGGCUAACUACGUGCCAGCAGCCGCGGUAA